GGUUCAGAUAGUUCUUCUACCAAUACUGAGACUACUACAUAAUCAUCAGAAGAUUGUAGUUGUCCUUUACCUCAGCAUAAUGUUCACACACUCACCCAGGAAGAUAAUUUUAUACUAGACAUUAUAGAUAAAAUAACUGAUCCUGAGGAGAAAAGAGCUAUCAUAACCCAAUUUAUUAAUAUUACCAAAAAUAAAUCAAAAUCACCUAUUAUCAAAAAUCCAGAUGAAUAUAAUUUCUCUGCUAUUAUCAAAAGAGUAAGUGAUCAACAUACUUCUCAAAAAGAACCUACAAUCUCUGAUCUCAAAAAAGAGAUUAAAGAAAUAAAAUCCGAAAUAGUACAAUUAAAAGGAAGAAUUCAAAUAUUAGAAUUACAACAAAUGUCUCAACAAGAUUCUGAGACAGAUGAAAUAGAAUUCAAUGAUUUGAUCACAG
rnacentral:lncRNA from 1 species